rnacentral:siRNA from 1 species
CCGGUCAUCAAGUUGUUGUUAUC